UUAACUGGAAGCAUUACCAUAGCUUCUGUGAUGUAAGGUAAUUUCUAUGCCAUAGUGCAAUCAAGGAGCUGGGCUUUGAACAAGGUUUGAUAGUGAAUUUUGCAGAUGGCUUGUUAUGAACAUUUAAGAAAAUGGCUAAGCAGUUGAAUGUGUUAGGGAAUAUUAACAAAGCAGAAGGUAGAGCAAUGAAUUUUUCUUACUAUACAGCUAGUUUGCUGUCCUUUCCAGUAAACCACAAGGUUCAUUACUGCUUGGUACUGUUUCAUUUCUGAUAACCGUUUAUAAUGUGAUUUUCAUGACAAAGUGUAAUUAGUGAAAACUUUUAUUCAAUUCUUCCCUUUCUUUGGUUUUUUUAAGGAGAAGUUUCUCCUUAUAUGGUAUAUAUACUUUCUUACAGAGCUUUCUUACCUAUUUUUGUAUCAGGUGAUUUAACAAUGUAAUAUUAAAUGCUCUAUGAGCAACGCUAUAUCACUGUUAAACAAUCUAAGUGCUAAAAUAACAACUAAGGGCCUGAACCCUACUGCCUUUCACUCAGGUCCUGGGUUCACCACGCUUCUUUCAUGCUGUGUAGUACCUUGCCCAUAAGCAGCUCCAUCUGCGUCUUUGAGAUGACUCAGG